rnacentral:tRNA from 1 species
GGCAUGGUGGUUGAGUGGUAAAACGCUUGGCUUCCGAACCGAGAGGUCACGGGUUCGAAUCCUUGUCAAGAUU